AUUGAACGCUAGCGGGAUGCCUUACACAUGCAAGUCGAACGGAGUGGCGAACGGGUGAGUAAUGUAUCGGAACGUGCCCAGUAGCGGGGGAUAACUAAGCGAAAGCGUAGCUAAUACCGCAUACUAUUGGCGCGGCCGAUAUCGGAUUAACUCGUUGGUGGGGUAACGGCUCACCAAGGCGACGAACCGUAGGUGGUUUGAGAGGACGACCAGCAACACUGGGAAUGAGACACGGCCCGGAAGCCUACGGGUGUCAGCAGUGGGGAAUUUGGGACAAUGGGGGAAACCCUGAUCCAGCCAUCCCGCGUGUGCGAUGAAGGCGUUCGGGUUGUAAAGCGCUUUUGGCAGGAAAGCGGUACCUGCAGAAUAAGCACCGGCUAAGUACGUGCCAGCAGCCGCGGUAAUAC
rnacentral:rRNA from 1 species